GACUCGGUUGGAUGGUCUGCCUCAGGGUAUGUACUGUCCUGACCGGGUCUCACCUUCUGGUGAGCUGUCGUGUUGUUUACUCAGCGCGGCAGGGAACCAGGACUUUUACUUUGAAAAAAUUAGAGUGUUUAAAGCAGGCAUUCGCUUGAAUACAUUAGCAUGGAAUAAUAAAAUAGGACUUUGGUUCUAUUUUGUUGGUUUCUAGGACCGAAGUA
rnacentral:rRNA from 1 species